rnacentral:rRNA from 1 species
GACGAACGCUGGCGGCGUGCCCAACACAUGCAAGUGGAGCGACGAACCAGGCUUCGGCCUGGGGCAAAGCCGCGAACGGGUGAGUAACACGUGGGUAACCUGCCCCGAUGACUGGGACAACCCGAGGAAACUCGGGCUAAUACCGGAUGUGCUCUGCCGACCCAGGUCGGCUCGAGUAAAGGAGCUUCGGCCUCGCAUUGGGGAGGGGCCCGCGGCCCAUUAGCUAGUUGGUGAGGUAACGGCUCACCAAGGCCGCGAUGGGUAGCUGGUCUGAGGGGACGAUCAGCCACACUGGGACUGAGACACGGCCCAGACUCCUACGGGAGGCAGCAGUGGGGAAUCUUGCGCAAUGCGCGAAAGCGUGACGCAGCAACGCCGCGUGGGGGAAGAA